rnacentral:rRNA from 1 species
UACGGAGGGGGCUAGCGUUGUUCGGAAUUACUGGGCGUAAAGCGCACGUAGGCGGACUAUUAAGUCAGGGGUGAAAUCCCGGGGCUCAACCCCGGAACUGCCUUUGAUACUGGUGGUCUAGAGUCCGGAAGAGGUGAGUGGAAUUCCGAGUGUAGAGGUGAAAUUCGUAGAUAUUCGGAGGAACACCAGUGGCGAAGGCGGCUCACUGGUCCGGUACUGACGCUGAGGUGCGAAAGCGUGGGGAGCAAACAGG